UGCCCAUAGAAGUGUUUAUUGUUUUUGACCAGAUUUGGUUUGAUACACCUAUCCUGGACCAAAUGUUCAGUUUUAUAAUUAUUGUCUGAUAACUUUUGGAUAGGCAUGAGCCAUGUGGGAGUAAUCUGGGCGUACAUAACUUAUGAACGGUGGCAUAUGGCCCCUGUUACCGCCCACAAGAAAAAAAAAAUAUGAAAAAAGAAGACAAAAUAAGCGGAAUAGAAUAGAAGAUGAAGAGGUGCCGUUGUAAGGGUUAAACCUCCGCCCUUCAACUGAUUUAUGCCGAACUGAAGUUUACAAGCUGGCUGAUAAACAUAAGCCAAACAUGAGAAUUGAAGAUUUGCGAAUGCAGGUCUCGUGGCGUUGAGUUUGUGAUUUUUUAAAUGCAAACCAUGGUGAGUGGUAAACAGACAUGACCUUAUAGAAAUGAUGGCAACGUGGUAAUUUAACGUGUGCCUCUUGUUAAGAUGUUAGGUCUUUUGAGAUGCACAUUGAAAACCAUUUACAAGCAACAUCUACAUUCUCAUAUUUAUUGAAGAUUUGUACUAGAGGUGGAAAACUCCCAAUGCAUAAACUACUAUGGCAACCAGGUGUCACCAGUUGGAUAGAUGUUGCUCAAAAUAAGUUAUGCAGCAAUACUACAAAAGAGCAGCAGUAUUCCUUAAUUCAGAAGCGGUCGUAUUGAAGCACUUGAGCGUCUGUGACUAUUUUCCUGAUUAUUCUGUUCAACUAGUGAGAUAUUCUAUGGAAGCUUUUCAAAUGUUACACAGUGUGUAAACUUUAUUUGCAUGAUUUGAUUUUGAUAUUUAUGUGUUAUCAAAAUAUAC